AGGUGACAGACAUCCGCCUGCGACAGGACAUCUGCCUGCGACUCAAAACAUUCGAGAGUUUUUCCUGGUGAAUUCAGUCUCACUUCCUGCCAAAGUAAACGAGUUCCUGUGCUGGCCGUCCCGCCCCUCCGAAUCCUCGGGAGAAGCGGGACUAAAGGAUCAAGCUGAAGUGAAUGUGUAGCCCUGUGACCUCAGCGCGCGGGGGCGGGGCGAUCGCCGGACACCCCCGCCCUCCCCGCCUCCAGCGCGAGUGACAACCCGGUCUCUGGCUCUGGAGCUGCGGCGCGGAACAAGCCCCGCAGGGCCUUCCCUGGCCGCCAACACACCACUCCCGGAGCUGAUUCCCUGUGCCCAGCUCCUUUCUUGGCGAGGCUUCAGUCCCUUAGUCGGCCUCAGUCUGUCCACCUUCGGAGAGGUCUGAGCGCUAGCCGGAGACAGGUAGACACCGAGAAGUGACAGAACCCAGAGGAAGCUGGAGAGAGGCAGCGAGGAAACGAGGGCCCGGCGGGCAGCAGCAUGAAAUUCAGCCCAGUGCCCUACCUGCUGCCUCUCCUGCCCGCGCUGGUCCUCAGCACCAGAUGGCCAAAUAGGAACGGCUCCGGUCUGCAGCACCCAGCAAGACCAACGCAGAAGGCAGGUAGGUGAUUUCUAUAUUUCGUAAAUACCUCUAUGCAAAUAAACCAAGGAAUCUGGAAGAAAUGAAUAAAUUCCUGUAUACGUAUAUCCUCCCAAGACUGAACCAAGAAGAAAUCAAAUCCCUGAAUAGACCAAUAACAAGUUCUGAAAUUGAGGCAGUAAUUAAUACCCUACCAACUAAAAAAAGUCCAAGACGAGAAGGAUUCACAGCCAAAUUCUGCUAGAGAGGAUGUGGAGAAAUAGGAACGCUUUUACACUGUUGGUGGGAGUGUAAAUUAGUUCCAUAAUUCUGGAAGACAGUGUGGCGAUUCCUCAAGGAUCUAGAACUAGAAAAGUCAUUUGAUCUAGCAAUCCCAUUAUUCAGUAUAUACCCAAAAGAAUGUAAAUCAUUCUACUAGAAAGACACACAAACGUAUACUUAUUGCAGCACUAUUCACAAUAGCAAAGAUUUGGAACCAACCAAAAUGCCCAUCAAUACUAGACUGGAUAAAGAAAAUGUGGCAUGUAUACACGACACAAUACUAUGCAGUCAUAAGAAGCAAUGAGUUCAUGUCCUUUGCGGGAACAUGGAUAAAGUUGUAAACUAUCAUUCUCAGCAAACUAACACAGGAACAGAAAACCAAACACCACACGUUCUCACUCAUAAGUGGGAAUUGAACAAUGAGAACUUAUGGGCACAGGGAGGGGAGCAUCACACACCGGGGCCUGACGGGGGUUAGGGGGCAAGGGGAGGGAUAGCAUUAGGAAAAAUACAUAAUGUAGAUAACGGAUUGAUGGGUGUGCAAACCAUCAUGGCACAUGUAUACUUAUGUAACAAACCUGCAUGUUCUGCACAGAUAUUUGAGAACUUAAAGUAUAAUAAUAAUAAUAAAGAAUAUAUACUUGAAAAUGUAACAACAACAACAAAAAAUACAAAUUUUAGUUGUACAGCUGAAGGAGUUUUGACAAGGUAUAUUAACACAGAAUAUUUACAUCACCCCAGAAAUUACUCAUGUGCUCCCUUUCCGGCAAAACGAACUUAAAAGUAAGCGCUUUUAAAAAUUCCAGUCCUUAUAGUUUAAAUUUGCCUGUUCUUUUCAUUUAUAGGAAUAGAAUCAUACAGUAUAUAUGAUUUUGUGUCUAGCUUCCUUCACUUAAUAAAAUAUCUCAGAUUCAUGCAUGUUUUUCAAUCAGUAAUUUACUACUUUUUGUUGCAGAGUGGUAUUGCAUUGUAUGACAAAACCUUAAAUUAUUUUAUCAUUUUAUUUGUUCAUGACAGUUGGAUUAUUUUCACUCUUUGCCUUUUAUAAAAUAAAGUUGAUAAGAAUAUUCUUGUACAAUAUUUUUGUAGAUAUUUGUUUUCAAUUUACCCUGGGAGAAUAUACAUAAUAUGUAUCUUAUGUGAAUUGCUGGGUGGUAAUAUAGGUAUCGUUUAACAUUAAGGACCACAGGCCACAUGGUUUUGGAAGUAGUUGCACCAUUUUUUACUCUGAUCAGCAACAUAUGUUAGAUCUAGCUGCUCCAUAUCCUUGACUACUUUUGGUAUUUCAAUCUCUUUAAUUGUAGAAAUUCUAGUCUAUAGUAUGCAUUUUCCUGUUAUUUCUUGUGCCCUCUCCAAAGCAGACUUUUUUUUUCAUCUUGAAGAAGUCUCAUAUUCAUUUUUUUUUGUGGUUAGUUCCAAGUUUGGUGAGGGUAUUUUCAGAGAUUCUGUAUUCUUAUGUAUUUUUCAUCUUCUUGUUUUAUUGAUUACCAGAAGAGGAAGAUAAAAAUCUCCAACUAUGCAUUAAUAACUUAGUACUGUCGGGGGGAGGGGGUAGGGAUAGCAUUA
rnacentral:lncRNA from 1 species